AACCCCUCUUCUAAAUCCUGACCAUUCAUCUCAUUCCGUUUAAAUCCUGGCCCUUCAUCUAUAAUUAAAUCAACGGACAAGAUCGAUUCCUCUCAUCUUUCCUAUUUUAAAUCCUAAAAGACUAACCCUAAAGUUUAUUCACUUUUCCUCCUCUCACUUAAAGAUCCAGCAGCCGCCAUCCCUCCACCUCGCCAUUUUUUCCGGCGAAAGCCAUCGGAGGCAGAUCCUCCCCUCUCCGGCGCCCUCUCUCUCUCCCCCCCUCGUCUCUUCUCCUUUCUCCCCUCUCGCAGCUCCAGCAGCCUCCAUCUCCGGCGAGCGACCAGACGAGAGAAGCAGCAACACCGGCAGAAACCAGCGCCACCAGCAACAGCCAGCAACACUGGCAGCAGCAGCCAGCAACACUGGCAGCAGCAGCAGCCACCACGAAAAUCAGCAGCAGCAGCCACCACGAAAACCAGCAGCUCCAGUGCUCUGAUCAACUGCUCUGGCUAACAGCAACAACAAACAACAAAAACAGCUAGACCCUCGAGUAUCCAUUCCUCUCGUCUCCGGCGAAGUUUGAGUUCGAAGACGGAUCUCAACAGAUCCGUCCUAGUUUUGAACUCAAAGUUCAAGAUAUUGAAGAGUUGCCAUUGAAGGAAAACAUUAGACAAGCUAAAUUUGUUUAAUUUGGGUUUUAUAUGUUAUUUAAUUUCUAUUAUUGUCUUGUAAUAAUUUGUAAACUCUAA